ACCUAGCGGCGGACGGGUGAGUAAUACUUAGGAAUCUGCCUAUUAAUGGGGGACAACAUCUCGAAAGGGAUGCUAAUACCGCAUACGCCCUACGGGGGAAAGCAGGGGAUCACUUGUGACCUUGCGUUAAUAGAUGAGCCUAAGUCGGAUUAGCUAGUUGGUGGGGUAAAGGCCUACCAAGGCGACGAUCUGUAGCGGGUCUGAGAGGAUGAUCCGCCACACUGGGACUGAGACACGGCCCAGACUCCUACGGGAGGCAGCAGUGGGGAAUAUUGGACAAUGGGGGGAACCCUGAUCCAGCCAUGCCGCGUGUGUGAAGAAGGCCUUAUGGUUGUAAAGCACUUUAAGCGAGGAGGAGGCUCUCUUGGUUAAUACCCAAGAAGAGUGGACGUUACUCGCAGAAUAAGCACCGGCUAACUCUGUGCCAGCAGCCGCGGUAAUACAGAGGGUGCGAGCGUUAAUCGGAUUUACUGGGCGUAAAGCGUGCGUAGGCGGCUUUUUAAGUCGGAUGUGAAAUCCCCGAGCUUAACUUGGGAAUUGCAUUCGAUACUGGGAAGCUAGAGUAUGGGAGAGGAUGGUAGAAUUCCAGGUGUAGCGGUGAAAUGCGUAGAGAUCUGGAGGAAUACCGAUGGCGAAGGCAGCCAUCUGGCCUAAUACUGACGCUGAGGUACGAAAGCAUGGGGAGCAAACAGGAUUAGAU
rnacentral:rRNA from 1 species